GAUCAACGCUGGCGGCGUGCCUAACACAUGCAAGUCGAACGAGAAAGUCCGCUUCGGCGGAUGAGUAAAGUGGCGCACGGGUGAGUAACACGUGACUAACCUACCUUUUAGUGGGGGAUAACCUAGGGAAACCUGGGCUAAUACCGCAUAAUACCUACGGGUCAAAGUUCGCCUCGGCGGACGCUGAAAGAGGGGGUCGCGGCCGAUUGGCUAGUUGGCGGGGUAAGGCCCACCAAGGCGAUGAUCGGUAUCCGGCCUGAGAGGGCGCACGGACACACUGGAACUGAAACACGGUCCAGACUCCUACGGGAGGCAGCAGUGGGGAAUUUUGCGCAAUGGGGGAAACCCUGACGCAGCAACGCCGCGUGGAGGAUGAAGACCCUUGGGUCGUAAACUCCUUUUCGAUCGGGACGAUAAUGACGGUACCGGAAGAAGAAGCCCCGGCUAACUUCGUGCCAGCAG
rnacentral:rRNA from 1 species